rnacentral:rRNA from 1 species
CGGGGUGAGUAAUGUCUGGGAAACUGCCUGAUGGAGGGGGAUAACUACUGGAAACGGUAGCUAAUACCGCAUAACGUCGCAAGACCAAAGAGGGGGACCUUCGGGCCUCUUGCCAUCGGAUGUGCCCAGAUGGGAUUAGCUAGUAGAUGGGGUAACGGCUCACCUAGGCGACGAUCCCUAGCUGGUCUGAGAGGAUGACCAGCCACACUGGAACUGAGACACGGUCCAG